rnacentral:rRNA from 1 species
AGACGGAGGGAGCAAGCGUUGCUCGGAAUUACUGGGCGUAAAGGGCGUGUAGGCGGGACAGCAAGUCGGGUGUGAAAGCCCUGGGCUCAACCCAGGAAGUGCAUUCGAUACUACUGUUCUUGAGUAUGACAGAGGAAAGCGGAAUUCCCGGUGUAGCGGUGAAAUGCGUAGAUAUCGGGAAGAACACCUGUGGCGAAGGCGGCUUUCUGGGUCACAACUGACGCUGAGACGCGAAAGCUAGGGGAGCGAACGGGAUUAGAAACCCCAGUAGUCC